rnacentral:lncRNA from 10 species
GGAAAGAUAUAUGACUAAAAAUCGAUAAAGGUAGAAACCAAUUUAACAAUAAUAGCAGGACCUAUAAUAUGAGAUGGUGGCAUGAAGGGACAGCUGCCAGCCACACAAUGCUUGUGCUCGUGAAGUCAUUAUCAGGACCAAGAGAACAUAUCGUGGACCUGGAGAUGCUGACAGUCAGCAGUAUAGGGACCUUCCGCACAAGCUCUGUGAUUUUCUAGUUUAUUUGCGUAGAGGUGUUUAUAGUAUUCUCUGAUGGUAGUUUGUAUUUCUGUGGGAUCGGUAGUGAUAUCCCCUUUAUCAUUUUUUAUUGCGUCUAUUUGAUUCUUCUCUCUUUUCUUCUUUAUUAGUCUUGCUAGUGGUCUGUCAAUUUUGUUGAUCUUUUCAAAAAACCAGCGCCAGGAUCCAUUGAUUUUUUGAGGGUUUUUUGUGUCUCUAUUUCCUUCAGUUCUUCUCUGAUCUUAAUUAUUUCUUGCCUUCUGCUAGCUUUUGAAUGUGUUUGCUCUUGCUUCUCUAGUUCUUUUAAUUGUGAUGUUAGGGUGUCAAUUUUGGAUCUUUCCUGCUUUUCCUUGUGGGCAUUUAGUGCUAUAAAUUUCCCUCUACACACUGCUUUAAUGUGUCCCAGAGAUUCUGGUAUGUUGUGUUCUCACUUGUUUCAAAGAACAUCUUUAUUUCUGCCUUCAGUUUGUUAUGUACCCAGUAGUGAUUCAGGAGCAGGUUGUUCAGUUUCCAUGUAGUUGAGUGGUUUUGGGUGAGUUUCUUAAUCCUGAGUUCUAGUUUGAUUGCACUGUGAUCUGAGAGACUGUUAUAAUGUCUGAUCUUUUACAUUUGCUGAGGAGCGCUUUACUUCCAACUAUAUGGUCAAUUUUGGAAUAGGUGUGGUGUGGUGCUGAAAACAAUGCA